GGCAAAGGUUGGCAGUUCAUUCCUCCAAACCACAGGGUGAUCAUGUGCUAGCUACAGCAAAGGAAAAAAAGAAAGAAAGAAAGGAAGAAAGAGGGUGACAGCGGUUGAGACGUGAAGAACAAGGACAAGAGGAGACGCUGCGAGAGAAGAAAAGAGGAAGAGGGAACGGGAGAGGUCUGGACUGACUGUCAAACAGACUUCACACUGUCUCACCUCUAAUUUUCCAUUAUCAUCCCCCCUGAAUUAUUCAUGGAACGUCCUCGCUGUAGGGAGAGAGGUGGAGGAAUGGAAAUGAAGGAGGAAGGAAAAGGGGCAAGGAGAUGGAAAGACAAAACUUGAGGUGAUAAAGACGGACGAAACGGAGAAAUGAUGACAAAAAGAAACAGACAGACAGGAGACGGAAUCAAAGCGGAGAGUCUUCGGAGGAGACGUUGACGGCACAGUCAAGAGUUUGGAGGUAAACUUCUCUGCCCAGAGGACAGGUAGAUCAGUUGUCCCCUUGAAUGGACGAAUCAAACAGAUGUCUCCCUGUCAGCUCACACGCUGUUCCAAAUUAGUGACACUUUUAUUAAACAUAUGUCUGUUUAAAGCCAGGAGUGGAGCAUGCUGGGAUAGAAAGUAGAGUUUUUUUGUUUUUUUUUUAAAUCCAGGACUGUGUUGUCCUGCAGAUCCGGUUGAUUCUCUUCACCGACUGUGAGCGAGUGCCACUAAAUCUCUUUCCAGACUGAGUCCAGUCUGAAUAUUCAGUGACUUCAUUUGCAUUAGUGCACAGAUGGGGGAAAACAGAUGCUCGUUACGGCCCGCGUCAAUUUUCAAAAAUUUGCUUUCGUGACAAAACAAAUAAUGCUACACUGGAGACUGAGAGAACUUGAAGUGUGUGUGCGUCAGGUUUCUGCAUCCAGUACAAGAAUAAUACUUAACUUUUAUACAUACGUCGCAACACAAUUAUAUGUUUUCUUAGUGGAGUUGUAUGAAUUUAUUCCCGCAGCUAUGGACAAAGUGUCUUGUUUCGGUGCAGACUGAAAUGCUAUGCAUAAGCUAAGGAAAUGCAGGAAUAUAUUGAUAUUCCCUGACAUUUUGCUUUAAGCUCAGGGUUGUCAAACAUACGGCCCACGGACCAAAACUGGCCCGCUUGGGGUUUCAA